rnacentral:tmRNA from 1 species
UUUGUUAGUGGCGUGUCUGUCCGCAGCUGGCAAGCGAAUGUAAAGAUUAGACUAAGCAUGUAGUACCGAGGAUGUAGGAAUUUCGGACGCGGGUUCAACUCCCGCCAGCUCCACCA